UGUGGUGUUCGGGAGGGUCCAUUAUCCCGAGAUCAUGCGGCGCGUCCAAGUCCUUCUUGAACGGGGCCACAGCCCAUAGAGGGUGCCAGGCCCGUAGCGACCGCUGCUGAUCGCGGGAGGAUCUCUCCUUAGAGUCGGGUUGCUUGAGAGUGCAGCCCUAAGUGGGUGGUAAACUCCAUCUAAGGCUAAAUAUGACCACGAGACCGAUAGCGAACAAGUACCGUGAGGGAAAGUUGAAAAGCACUUUGAAGAGAGAGUUCAAGAGUACGUGAAACCGUUUAGGGGUAAACCUGAGAAACCCGAAAGGUCGAAGGGAGAAAUUCAAUCGCGUUUCGCCGCAGGCGUCGGUCGGUCGUGCGACGGGGAACGUUCGCGUUACCCGCGCCCUCAGUCCUUCGAACCGGCGGCGAACGCGUGCACUUUUCUCCUGGUAGGACGUCGCGAUCCGUUGGGUGUCGGUCUACGACUCGCGGUGGAGCCCGUUCGUGCCACGUGUGCGAGCGGACCCGCGUUUUCCGGCCGACUCGCUCGACGGUAUACGAAAGAUUUAAGGCCGCUCUCGGAGCGUUCGGCUCGCGGCAAGCGCGCCAGAUGCGUCGGCGACCGGACCUAGUGCCGAUUCUGACCUCUGGUGACUGUUGGCCGCGAUCGUCUCGAACAGACCUUCGAAUCGAUCGGCGACGCUAUAGCUUUGGGUACUUUCAGGACCCGUCUUGAAACACGGACCAAGGAGUCUAGCAUGUGCGCGAGUCAUUGGGAAUCACUAAACCUAAAGGCGCAAUGAAAGUAAAGGUCUUCCUCGCGAAGACUGAGGGAGGACGGGCGGUUUACCCUUAAAAGUGGCCGCUCAGCACUCCCGGGGCGUCUCGUUCUCAUUGCGAGAAGAGGCGCACCAUGAGCGUACACGCUGGGACCCGAAAGAUGGUG
rnacentral:rRNA from 1 species